rnacentral:rRNA from 1 species
AGAGAUGUGUGAUGACGCAUAUCAAUAAGCGGAGGAAAAGAAACUAACAAGGAUUCCCUUAGUAACGGCGAGUGAAGCGGGAAGAGCUCAAAUUUGAAAUCUUCAAGGUUCUACCUUGACGAAUUGUAGUUUAUAGAAGUGUUUUCUGUUAGUAGAGUGGCAAAAGUUCUUUGGAAUAGGACAUCAUAGAGGGUGAGAAUCCCGUAUUUGGUCAUUCUUUCUAGCUUUGUGAUACACUUUCAACGAGUCGGAUUGUUUGGGAAUGCAGUCCAAAAUGGGUGGUAAAUUUCAUCUAAAGCUAAAUAUUGGCGAGAGACCGAUAGCGAACAAGUACCGUGAGGGAAAGAUGAAAAGAACUUUGAAAAGAGAGUUAAACAGUACGUGAAAUUGUCAAAAGGGAAGCGUUUGACACCAGUGUUGUUUUUCCGAAAAUCAAUUACGAAUGUUUUGUUUUUAAGAAGUUAUGACUUCAUCGGCUUGCUUCUUUCUUUACGAAACUUUCUUAAUGCACUUUUCGGUUAACAAGUCAACAUCAAUUUCUUUUGUUGUAAAAGGGUACGAGGAAGGUGGCUUUCUUUUCGGAGAAAGUGUUUAUAGCCUUGUGACCUCUGCAAUCGGAGAGAUUGAGGUCUGCAGCGUAGAUCCUUCGGGGUUAGAUACAUUUGUGCUAAGUUAUAGCUUUUCAUAGACAACUUGUUGACUAUGUUAGUCUUGUAGCUUACUCGCUUAUGCUAUUUUACCUACGCUUAGGAUGUUGAAGAUGUAGCACAUCAUC